rnacentral:rRNA from 1 species
UACCAGCACCCCGAGUGGUCGGGACGUUUAUUGGGCCUAAAGCCUCCGUAGCCGGUUCUACAAGUCUUCCGUUAAAUCCAGCUGCUUAACAGAUGGGCUGCGGAAGAUACUAUGGAGCUAGGAGGCGGGAGAGGCAAGCGGUACUCGAUGGGUAGGGGUAAAAUCCGUUGAUCCAUUGAAGACCACCAGUGGCGAAGGCGGCUUGCCAGAACGCGCUCGACGGUGAGGGAUGAAAGCUGGGGGAGCAAACCGG